AAGAAAAAAAUCAAUCAAUCGAAUAAAUCUCAUUAGAAUUUGAGAGGCUGAAGAUGAAUCCCAACAACGAAGGGAGCAGCAAUGGAGGAAAGAAGGGAGGUAGUGGUUUUACUAAAAAAGGAAAGAUCACAGCAAUGGCGGUCAAGAAAUAUGUUGAGUUGGGAGAGAAAGCUUCAAACAAUCUUGUUAAGGUUUAUAAUGACCACAAAGAUAAAGGAAAAGUUAAACCUUCUGAUGAUUAAUUGUUAAUUCGUGUGUAUAUUAGUUUCAAAUUUGUGUGUUGUAAAAUAGCUAGGGUUGUCACAAAUGUAUUUUUAUAGAAUUCUAGCAAAUCGUUAAGAGUGUUCAAUUCUGUGUGCAUUUAUCAAAACAUAUGUAUUGAUUGUGAAUUUAUUGAAUAUACUAUGCAGUAAUUUUGUUCUCUCUGUUG